UAGGGAAUCUUCCGCAAUGGACGAAAGUCUGACGGAGCAACGCCGCGUGAGCGAAGAAGGCCUUCGGGUCGUAAAGCUCUGUUGUUAGGGAAGAACAAGUACCAGAGUAACUGCUGGUACCUUGACGGUACCUAACCAGAAAGCCACGGCUAACUACGUGCCAGCAGCCGCGGUAAUACGUAGGUGGCAAGCGUUGUCCGGAAUUAUUGGGCGUAAAGCGCGCGCAGGUGGUUUCUUAAGUCUGAUGUGAAAGCCCACGGCUCAACCGUGGAGGGUCAUUGGAAACUGGGGAACUUGAGUGCAGAAGAGGAAAGUGGAAUUCCACGUGUAGCGGUGAAAUGCGUAGAGAUGUGGAGGAACACCAGUGGCGAAGGCGACUCUCUGGUCUGUAACUGACGCUGAGGCGCGAAAGCGUGGGGAGCAAACAGGAUUAGAUACCCUGGUAGUCCACGCCGUAAACGAUGAGUGCUAAGUGUUAGAGGGUUUCCGCCCUUUAGUGCUGCAG
rnacentral:rRNA from 1 species